AAAAAUAGGCGCUACUUUUUCCCUCCUUUCCUUUUCCCCCACCCCACUCCCCACCAAAAAAUGAAAUUAGCUAUCAUCAAAACACACACACACACACACAGAUCCAAAUUGAAAACUGCUGGUCUAUCACCAACAUCGUAAGCAUCGUAAGCCUGCAAUUGCAAUCAAAAUUAAGUUUCUGGGAGAAGAAAAAACUGUUUGUUACCUUUGUCGUCAUCCAUUGUUUUUGUUAGGGUUUCUUCUCAAGCUUGUAGGAGAAAAAAUAAGAUAGCGCCUUUGUAAAAUGCCUAAAUCCAUUGAACAGUCCUCUGUUUAUGUUUAUCCAUUCCCCGGUCAACGCGGACACUUUGCUGGAUUAUUAGAAUGCAUAUACUAACCAGCAUACAAAACACGACCCAAGGCUUGAGAGUUAUUGGGCUAAAACCAAAUGAGAAGAUUGCACUCUUUGCUGAUAAUUCAUGUCGAUGGCUUGUUGCAAAUCAAGGUAUGAUGGCAAUGGGGAUAUUAAUGUUGUAAGGGGUUCAAGGUCAUCAGCUCAAGAGCUAGUGCAAUUACAACCACUCUGAAAGGUUAGUGCAGAUGUUCGUCUGUUGUUCUAAUUAACCUGUUAAUGAGUAUGUUACUUGUUCUCCCCAUCUUUCUUCUCUUUUCUUUUUCCUGAUUAGUUGUUUUCCCUGUCUCUCAUUUUUAAACAUGUUGAUAUUGUUCUUAUCAAAAACAAAAAAAGGACAUGUUGAUAUUGUUUUUGUCAAGAGUCAUAUGAAUCUACUUCAUUCUUAAGAUGUAGGUAAGACAUUUACUAUAAGAUAUAUAACUUAAGCAAAAAAACGUUCUUGCUUAAUUAGAAACUGAAUGUUAUUAAAAAUAUCUCAAAAGUGCAAACACAAGCUCUUUUUUAUUUGUUUUGACCGGAAGAGCGUAAUGUUUAAUUCUUGAUUUUGUCAUUGAUGAGAAAUGUCUUCAAUCUUAAUGUGCGUAGCAUACAAAUGUAAAGGCGUUUUACUUUCAACUGCUAUUCUGCAAAGUUUCAAUUUAUGCAGAUGCUUAUCUUCUGAUGAGUCUGUUAGCUCAUAGGACAUGUAAAGUAUCUAUUAACUGUAUUUUCAUAGUUUCUCAUCAUUGAGUUGGAUCCUCUUCUUUCUUAAGACAAAAGAAGUGAAACUUGGUGCUUUGUAUUUCCUAAGGAAGCUUCGCCAAUUGGACCGCAUUUAGUAUGCCUAGAAGUUCCAUGACUGUGAUGGUCUACUCUAAAACAUUAAAUCGAGCUUGGUGUGAGAAGAAAACAAGGAACAAUUAUUUGAUCCAAGCGAUUCCUUUCUCCGCAAAAUCCGCCUGAAGUGAGUGGGGGUUUAAGCUUAACAUAAAGACUUAAUUGUUUCUGUUUAUCUAUAGGUAAACCAUAAGCCAUAGUUUCUCUAACAUUUUAGCUUAUAGUUGGUAUGUGGAUUUCGUCUUGUUAGAAUCUUUACAAUUUUGCACUAAUUGAUUGGUGAUAGCUUCUUGCUUACAGCAUAUUAGACCAUGCUGCAAAACAUUAUAAAUGCAUGUUUAGUGUUUGCAACAUGUCUUCUUGUCAUAUUAUUAAAGACCAUUUAUUCCAAUGAUGUGUCAGGCAACAAGGAGGAAUUAUUGUUGCAGGUCCUGCUAGGUUAGGAUUUUGAAUUAUGUAAUUUAUCCUGUUCACUUUUGAACUUUGUCUCAGUUCCUCUUUACAUGCUUAAAAUUAAAGGUUAAAUGUCUUUUUAAAUAUUGGAUUAUGUGAUGAAGGCAAUUAAGACUUUGAAAUUUUGAGCAUUGUAAUUUAGGGAGUUCUUUUAGACAGAAAGAGGAAGUAUAUUUUUCUCUAUUUUAUAUCACUUCUCUAGUUCUUAGGAGUUACAGGUAAGUUGCUGGCACUACACUCAUGGUAGACAUCGGUCAUUGAAGUAUCUUGCAACUUGCUGAGAGAUUUGAUUCGGAGUAGCAUAGCUAGUUUGAAACUUUAAAGCUCAAAGAGGUCCAAAUACCCAGAUUCAAUAUAUAUUUCGAGUUCUCAGCCUAGCAAACAAUGUUUUGAGAAGGACAAAUGCAAAUCAAUGCAGCUUACAAUGUGGUACAACAAUGCAAAAGCUGGAAGAAGAUUUUUCGCGUUACUAAAUAAAUAGAUUAGGAUUUUAUAAUACAAUAUCUUAGUUCCUUUUGUUAGUAAAAUCAUACUUUUAGGAAUCAGGUAGAUUUGGAACUAUGUAUUUGUUUGAUACAAUUGUGUCAUUGAUCUUUACAUUUA